AUAUAAUUUUUCCCAACAAAUUUCAUUACUUAUCUACCCUUGUACCAAAUUUGUUGGUGUGCAAUUGAAGGUACAAGAUUGACGAGUCUACAAGGACUAGAAAUGACAAGGUUGACCCCCGACUCCGCGCCAUCUAUAAAAAUGCAGCAGAUCUUCUUGGUGUCGAUGGGCCAAGAGAUGAGCUUGUGAAGUGGCUGAGCAACCAUGAGGGUGAAUCAACACAUAAACAAAAAGUUGUCUCUAUUGUCGGAUAUGGAGGGCUAGGCAAGACUACCCUUGCCAAACAAGUCUAUGAUGAACAUGGGCCAAACUUUGAAUGUCAGGCUUUUGUAUCAAUUUCACGUAGUCCUGAUCUGAAGAACAUCUUGAGUUCUAUAUUAUCUCAAGUCCGGAACCAAGAUUAUACUCAUGCUGUCUUAGGGGAUCUACAAUUCAUCAUCAACCAGAUCAGAGUUUUUCUAAAAUAUAAAAGGGACUUCCUAUUUGCCGCUAGUUGCGGAAAAGUGCCGGCGUUUCGCACAGGGAGCCGCUAACCUGGGCCGGCCCAUGCUGUCUUAGGGGAUCUACAAUUCAUCAUCAACCAGAUCAGAGUUUUCCUAAAAUAUAAAAGGGACUUCCUAUUUGCCGCUAGUUGCGGAAAAGUGCCGGCGUUUCGCACAGGGAGCCGCUAACCUGGGCCGGCCCAUGCUGUCUUAGGGGAUCUACAAUUCAUCAUCAACCAGAUCAGAGUUUUCCUAA